AAGAGAGGCCGGCGGGUGUGAGCCGCGUGUGUCACUGCAGUCCUCUUCCUGCACCACGCUGCCGGUUGCUGAUUGCUAAGCAGUUAGCAUUAUUUCUGUGGCAAUUGCAGAGGCUGUUGUUAAUUGGAGAAGCCCCACUAAGCCAAAGCAUCUUCCCUCUUCGGAUGUGCUCUCUGCUCUUUGCCUUUAAAAAGAGAUCUAGGCUGGUCUCCCCACUUUCCCUCUCCUAUCCUCCCCAAAACAGCCUUGCGAUUUUGGAAGUAUGGACUCAAUGACAGUCUUCCCAGCCGAUUGGAUUCUGGUGGCUCCAAACUCACCUUCAAAUCGCACCUGCCCCUGUACAGGUGGGCAUUCUGGACAGGAGGUCAUGACUAAAGCCAAGGAACCAAAUGCUCCAGGGAAAUCCGGGCAGUAGCAGGAACAGCUAAAUGGGCAUUCAUUGACCAACGGAGGAAGCCCACACAGCACAAUAGGAUGCCUGAGAGAUGCACGCAGCUAUACCUCUGAGGAUGGAUGGAUUGGCACCCCCAGGAAGUGGCGGAGAUAGACAUUGGCCCGUGCACUUCUGUUUUAAGCAAAAGUAAGAUUUAUUGGAAAGAUGCUGGAGUUGAUCAUGGAAUCGCAGAGGACUGAGAGAUCAAUCCUCGGACAGUGCAGUAGCAGCAGCUGUUCUCUCAUAGACUCUUUUUCCUCAUACAGAAAGGCUGGCUGCCAGCAGCUUCCACAACCACACCCUCUAGCUCAGUUCCUAGGAGAGAGCACUCCCCUUCUUGCCAUCUCCAGCCAGGAAAAACUCAUGGAUGGACUCUGCCUGGUUUAGCUUAACUCACAAGUCCAUCUGCAGACCCGUUACCCGGUCUUGAGACAGAGGCACUAUGAUCCCACGUUGUGAAUUGUAAAAUGUAACCAUUAGGAAGUAGACUUCAAAUGCUCGUAUCAUAUUAUAAUACUAUGCAUAUUUGUGUUUAUAGAAGGAAACACAUUUGAAAUAUAGAGAAGCAGAACAGUGUGUUUUCUCAUCAGUUCUUCUUUGGGCAAAAUAAGCAUAAUCUGACUAAAUCUGCAUUUCUAACCUGCGCUGUCACCUUGCUCUUACACCUUAACAAGCAAACUAUAUGAGAAGAAUGAUCAGCAAUAGAAGCAAGAUGAUUUUCUUUUGGUCCAAAACUUUGUACCUGGUGAUAUUCUAUGCCAUGAAAAGAAUCAUGCUUAAUAAUUCAUUUGUCAGCUGUGUUAGGCACUGUGGAAGAUUCCAAACAGCAUGAAAUCUAACCUCUGCCUUCAGAGAGCUUAACAGUUUUCUGUGGCAGGGAAAUUAGAGUACAUCUGUGAAAACAUAUUAGUAUAGGACAGAACAGAAAAUUUCUUAGACUCUAACAAAUGUUUUAAUUCCAGGUGUACUCAGGAAGAUAGUAGCAUUUUUGGAUGUCUACUAUGAAGAGAAAAGUAUGUACUGAGAUGGGUUUUAUAGGCAGUAAACAUUACAGUCCUUGUCUUCAAGACAUUUGAAACAUACAACAUGCUCACAUUAGCUAAAUAUGCUUACUUCAAAUGCCUAUACUUAUGUCACAUGACUGUGAAGUUAUCAACCUGGUUUCAAAAGCCAUACACAAAAAUCAAAUCAGGUAAUGUGUGUAAAAGUUCAUUGUUAACUGUAGUACCAUACAAACUGAGGUGAUAUUACCGUGAUCAUAUCUUCCAUUUUAUUGUUCAUGAUGGAAGCUGGCCUACUUGUGGAGAAGAAUGGGCCCAUUAUUCCUGUUUGGGAAAAUAAAUGGAAUAAUAAAGAAGACUCAAAACCAAAUGAAAUGCCAUUCCAUACACAUUUUGAAAAAGUUUAUAGAGUAAUUUAAGCAUGAAGAGCUAUUCUAAGCAUAAUAAUAAACUGUAAAGAAUAUUGUUUCCUUUCCAAGAUUCACUUUUCCAAGAUGGCUCAAAUGUGAAAGUCUCUUUUGGAGUUUAUGUAUAGUUCUUUAAAUUGGCACAUUUGGCCUAAAGCAAGAGGAAAAACUGAGUACAAUGUACCAUUUUGUCAAGCAGGGCAGAGCCUUGAAUGGAGGAUUAAGUGGGUAGGGCUCCAUGGAAGAAAUAGGACAUAUUCUUUGCUAUUCAGAGAUAUCCUAUGGGUUGAUGAAAUUAUAUUUACUUUAACAAGCCUUGCUUAAUACUGCACGUUCACAAUUACCUUCCACUUGUACAGCAUGUUGCUCAGGAAGAAAUCUAUUCCUAUCCUUAAUGUUCCAGUCUCUCUUUCCUUGUUUUAACUAUAUUCUAAAUAAUUUAUAAAUAUUUUGUUGCUGGUGAAUUGUUUUCUUUUUCGGCCCUUCAGUAUAGGCAUAGCUUAAUACUGGCUAUAUUUCCAUUUGCCUUUUUUCUUUGUUUCUCAUUGGUCCAUAUCAGACCUAAGCUUCAAUUUUCUUUUCCUUCAGCCACAGAUAUCCUAGUGUAUAAUAUUUCCUUCUGGAUUCUAUCAAAUGUAACCCUACUUAAUCACACCUUCAUCUUGGUCAUUACCCCAGGCCACCAUACUCUAUAUCAGUUUUAUGAGUAUUUUCUGGUCUGAAGGGCAUUUGUUUUACUCAGGCACAGGAGAUUCUGUCUUCUAUGAAUGUUAUGAGUUUUAACAUGAUGUAGAAACCGUGAUGCUAACUGACAUUACACAGAACUUUACAGGUUACUCAGCCUCUCACAGACAGGCGUUUAUUUGGUCCUUUCAAACUCUUGGGGUGGGAUUUAUCAUCUCCAAUUUCCUCAUGAGGAAAUGGAAGUUCAGUGAGAGAUUGUGCACAGGCCUAUGGUAGCUGGUAAACGGUAGAAUUGGGGCUGAGAUUGGGUUUCCUCACUCCAUGCCCAUUGCGCUUUCCAUCGUAUUACAAGCCAUUCUGCUUAGGAGGGAUUUAGGGCUUAUAUAGCAAAUAAUAUUUUUCAGGGAAUCUGUUUACAACAACAAAAAAUUUUUCUCUCCAAAAUGUUCAUGCCUGGCCUGGAUAAACAUGAGCUCCCACUGCCCACCAUUGCCUCUAGGAUUUACUUUAUAGCUUUGUUUCAAAUACAAACUGAGUUUUCAUUAUUCUUCCUUACAGUUAAUCUCUUUACACACUGCCCUAGGAAUCACUUUUAAAAUUGACAGGAGUUUAGCUGGAGUCUCUCUUCUGUGAUGGGAAUUCCAUUCCCAAAGAACUAGAGCAAUAUUUCUUAAUUGAAUAUUUACUGUAAUGAUCAAGAAGGAGUCAGUUGGUCCUGUUUGCUUUAUUUUCAUUGUAAGCUAAAGAUUUGGAUGGUAUUUCCAUGAUUUAUUGAGAACUGCACCAAGAUUCUCAGUAUUCAAUAAACAUAGUUAAGAAGUAGAGGAAAGACAUAUAUUUUUCAUCAUACACACAACUCUAAAUGUUUAGGCCAAAGGCACAUAUUUUUAGGACCUUACAAAAGUAGAUACAUUUUUAAUGGGUUCAAGUAACAAAUAUAAAUUCUAUCUCUCUAUUACCUGAAUAUCUUAACUGUUUGGAGGUUUUAUUAUCGGAAACUGCCAAAUAACAUGCAUAUAUCAUUUUAGUUGAAACUUAAGCCUGGCAGUUUUAUUGAGAAAAAUGGAUUUUAAGUUAUUUUUCAUACAUAAAGGUUGCUAAGCCUAUGCUUAAUUGGUGAAGAUAUGGAUGACCUUAUCUCCAUGCUUCAAGGAAAAAAUAAAACCUCACUAUCUUAUAUCCUCGAGAUUUGGCAAAAGAUGAUCAAUUAACUGUCUAAAAAUCUGUAAUAAAAUGACUGUAGGGAGUAAAACAAACUGAAUUGUGUCCAAUUCAGCUCAUUAAAAUAUGUAUGACCCUGUGCCAGAGAUGUCUGUGGCAAUCCAGCCUUUGAUUCUAUUUAUGGAGAUGUUACCCUCGUGUGGCUCCAGUCCCUGUGCAGAAACAUAAUGUGGUCAUAUCUUUUGUGGUUCCUAAUUCAUGUGAGAUUAGUCGUUCAUAUUCUUAAGUCAUCUCUGAAGAUAAAAGUCAGAGUUCAAAAUCUAUGUUUUGAUGAAGCAAGGAUGGAGACAUAAUCAUGAUAAAAUUGAACAUAUUAUCCUAGGAUCAUGAUUUAAAAGAUUUGAGAACUCUUCCUGACACCAGUGGGUUCAUUGGUAUCUCUUGUCGUCAUAGGAGACUUUGUACAGAUCCAGAAAGGCUCAUGUUUGCUCCACGUCAUAUGUUUAUCAAGACUGUAUAAUUCUGGCAUUUUGUUUUAUUGUUAAUUCUAGCUUGCAAAUGUAGAAACACUUUGUAGCAUUUACAGGCUACUAUAAUGAUCAUCAUGUAAUUUGUGUAGCUGUUGCAUAAAGAUAACACCAUUUUGUUUCCCAUCAUGACUUUUUCUAGAGAGUUAGUUGUUCAGCACUGAUUCAAAUCUUUUCCCAAGGUAUAUACAAAUAAAAUACUCUCCUGAUUUCCCACAAGGAAGGAAAGAAGAAAGGGAGGUGACUGAUCUCUGUGGUCUGUAAACGGUAUCCAUGAGUCCCAGGAGGGCAGGCAUAGCUCAGGAUGUAGAAAAGCACAUGUGUCCAGAGCUCCUGUUUCCAAGAAGUUCACAGUAAUUUUAGCAAGAUAAGAAAUACAUGGAUCCAGGUCUCUUUGGUUCAAUCUUAAUAUUUUACUUGGUGUCUGGUUACCACAGAUUAUUGUUGGGGUCUGUAUGAAGAUGGAUGCUUCUAGGAAACAAAAAACAUUUUAGGCUUCUAGGCAAGAUGUGAAAUUUAGAGCAGAAACUUGUGAUGAUGGGUAUCAGGAAAAAAAUAGAAGAAUCAAUAGGUCUUAGAAUUAUGAGAACAAAAAGCAGUUAAUAGGUUUUUAAGAAGUACUUUAUAGGUAUGGUGACCAUAUAUCCCAAUUUUCUUAGGACAAUCCUGGUUUAUGCCAAUUAUCCUGGCUUGAGUUUUAACAGCAUUCCCUUUUACUCGCAACAGUGUCCAUGUUUGGACAAUAAGUCACAUGGUCAACAUAUGUAUUGAUGAAGAAUUAGUAUUUUAAAAUAGCAACAGAUUGGAAAUGAAGAUUUUGGUGAAAUUAAUUUUGAUGUCCCCUUUUACUACACCACAAUCUGAUAUCUUUGUAAAUUUUUUUUAUUAGACGAGUAGUGUUGACUGCAUUUCUUAGAAGAAAAAUGAAGGCAAGAAAAAUUAAAAAAAAGAACCUUUUCUCAAGCUGUUGUGAAAUUUUCUUUCCACAGUAGUACCAGAUUUCAGAACUCGAAAACUUCACUGCCUGUACUAACAUCUACCUUAUAUGGUGGGGAAAAUGGAAAAAGCCAAAUAAAUAAUAAGGUAUAAAAUAUAUGCAUUUCUUCCCUCUAUUAUGAACUUGUCCCUUAACUAUCACCAUUUACACUGCAUAUGUGAUUUGCAUUGCCAGAACAGUGAAGCAAAUACAAAGAUAUUAUAAGGCUUGUGAUAAUUCGCAAAAGAAAUCACAUUUGCCCAGACUAUUACACUGCUGUUCUGCCUUCAAUGGAAACACACAUUACUAUGAGUAAAACCUGACUCUCUAAUGCUUUUAAAACAGGAGUGCUUUUGAGUUUGUUUCCUGGGACCCCUCUGAUGGAGGUAGUUAUUAUUCAUGUUUGCUGGAAUAAUCUUCAUGAGGUCCGUGAGCUCAGGGAAGUCAUGGUCUCAGAAACAUAGAGUGCAAAUUGAGACUAAAAGAAAAGGGAAAAUUUUUUUCUCAGAUCUCCAUGUCCUUCUGUCCUCUGUAAGAGUAUUACAUAUGAUCAGGGUCAGAAAGCAAUUCGUGGGAGUAGGUAUUGCUUUUGGUGGAUGUGAGCUCCUAGAGAAAUAGUCCAUGAGAGCUGAUGAGUCCAAAUGAGGUGAUGAGAGGUGAGAACAAAGCACUAAAAGGCUUGUGAAGAACUGAGACCUGGAACAAUCAUGAUGUCACAUCCCAAAGUAGGAGAAGUAAACUCUUAUGGCAUUGAAGGGCAUGGAAGAGAUUCCUAUUCACUUAGCAGAACAUUCACUGAAGUGAUUUUUGAAGAUGAAUAACAUUGACGAUGUAGAAUGAAGGGAGAAAAAAAGGAUAGGGAAACAAUUAAUUUGAUAUGGAUGUGGCCUUGAAGAUACUUUUUCAAGUAUUUGUUCAAGUAUGGUCUGCCUGGUAUAAUCUAAAAGAGUAGGGGAAGCCUUGGGAAUUCUAUUGAUUUCUAGUAUCAAGGAACCAUAAAGUAUGAAAACAGAAAGGAGGCUUAAAGAUCAUUAAGUUCAUUCUGAAAUGAGAAAAAGUCAAGCCCAUAGAAAUAGUUUACCUAACUUCCAAGUUUAUGUGCCUAUUAGUACCAGGAACCAGGUUUACACAAUGCACCCACUGCCCCCCUGACAUCAACCACAUUUCCCUAGAGAGUAGAAGGGGAUUAUAUAGUCACACUGUGACAGAGACACAGUAUGAGCAAGACCAGAUCCAAAACCUUGAGAAGGAGGGUAUGUUGAUUCGCAGACAUUGAUAGUCUGGAAUCACCCCUUAGGUAUUUUUCCUAAUUCUUAUGAAUAAGUUCUUCUGACUUCCUAUAAUGAUAGCCAGCAUUAUUUGGAAACACUGAAAAUAAAUAUCUCUAAAUGUGGACAGCCCUGUUAAUAGGAUCUUUCAUCUUUCUAAGACUUAUUACAAUUAUUUUCCUAUAACAAUUUUGAAUGAGAUGUCGAAAUUGUUUUUAACCUUAGAUAUCUCUUAAGGAAGUAAAGAUGGUAGGACACUGAUGUUUUUGUUUGUUUCUGAAUUUACUUAAAUGUUCCCCAUUAAAGAUUUGGUGUGCACAUUUGUUUUAUUCUUGAUUUCAACACAUCUUUGCUGCACAUCAAAUACAGUAUUUUCUAGAUCAGCAUGGUCCAAUGGAACUUAAUGUGAUGAUAGAAUUGUUCUGUACCUGCACUGUCCAAUAUGGUAGCCACGAGUGCAUGUUGCUAUUGACUUCUUAAAAUGUUGCUAGUAUGACAGAGAAAGGGAAUUUUUAAUUUUAUUUCAUUCUAAUUAACGAAAAUUGGAAUAGCCACAUGUAGAUAGUGGCUUUAAUAUUGUACAUAACAGUUCUAGACACUGGUAUUGGGUAAAAAAAAAGAUAAGUCAUGACUUCUGACUACAAGUCACUCACAGCCAAGAGUGGUGGGGAAGCGUAGGAGAUGGAUAAACAAAUCAUUAUUCUAGAGAGGGAUUAGCGUUACUUUACAAGUCAGAAUAAGGUCCUGUGGGGCACAGAAAAUAGAGUAUGACCCUUCUUUGGAGUAGGGAGCAAAAGAAGUUUUUGACAAAGAACUGAUAUUUGAAUCUUGAUGAAUGAGCUGAGUCUACUCCAUACAUUAGAGAUGAACAAAAAGAGGAAAGAAUUUUCAACAAUGGAGGAAAUGUGUGCAAAUUCAUAGUGGUGUGAAAGAGCAGAUGGGGGU